UACGGAGGGAGCUAGCGUUAUUCGGAAUUACUGGGCGUAAAGCGCACGUAGGCGGCUUUGUAAGUAAGAGGUGAAAGCCCAGAGCUCAACUCUGGAAUUGCCUUUUAGACUGCAUCGCUUGAAUCAUGGAGAGGUCAGUGGAGUUCCGAGUGUAGGAGGUAGAAAUUCGUAGAUAUUCGGCAGAACACCAGUGGCGAAGGCGGCUGACUGGAC
rnacentral:rRNA from 1 species